GGCAUGCUCUGUAAUAAAUAUAUGAAUAUGAAAAAGGUGAAAGAAGAAGAAGAAAAAAAAUUUAAUGAGAAAAAAAAAUAAAAAUAAAAAUGAAUUAUUGUAAUGUUUACAGUGUGAAAUGCUUCGGUUCCUAUUGGGUGAUGAAGCAUUAACAUCAAAGGUUAAAGCGUUUACUUUUAAUAAUAUAUUUCUGCACCAAACUAAAUAAAAGACUAUUUUGCUCAUCUGAGAGUACCAUUGAUCCAAAAAGCAAGGCUUUUGUGUUAACUUGGACAGGUUUCCAAUUGAAAAUAUGGCUUUUUUUUUUUAUUGUUCUUGGAUGUAGUAAGAUGGUUUAGCUUGCCAAAGAGUACGACAUUUUUUGUUUUGGAGGACGGGACUCCAGUUAUUCAAAGGUCGGUUCUUAAGAUUUAUGGGUGGGCCAAAGAAUAAGGGACAGGUUGUGUCACAAGGAAACUUUACAUCUAACAGCUCAAAUGUUAACUUUAUUGUUCCGGACAGAAGAAGUUUGGAAGUUGACAAAAAGUUUAUUGUUGAGGAUAAACCAGGAUAAACCAGAAGUUAUUACCACAGGAUCAGACAUUAGACAAAUAGAAUUCAUAUGUUACAUAUAAUAUUGCUCUUUCAUGACCGAAAGACACGUAUUAUGUUUACUUAAUACUCCUAUCAUCAUAAAAAAAUGUUGUUUCAUCGUUAAUUAGUGAUCAUAUAACUGGUUUUGAAUUUACUUGAUCCGCAUUGAAGGCGGUUGUACAUUUUUUAAAACACAUUUGGAAAAGCUAUGUACCGUACAUUCACUGAACUAUGCACCGUACAUAUGGAUUUAUUUGGUCAGCUAUACACCGUAUACAACGCGUCUUUCCCGACUAAAAUAUUCAAAAAUAACAUAUGUCUGAAAGAUUUCAAUGCCAAUUAUUGAAACAGCUAUACUUCUUACGCACACACAGUGGCCUUUUGUCAGAAAAAUAGUUGUAAUGAAUAUAUAAUCAUAUGGAAUGAGACAAGCGCUAACUUCUUUGACAAGUAUUUGCACAUGUUUUUAGUAAGCUUUCUUGUUUUGAGAAAAUAAUAAGACUUUCCUUAUCACGAAUUUACGACAAAAUCAUUUCUUAAAACAACAAUUAUAUAAAGAGUGAGGUACACAUUGACAUUAUGUAAACAAAAC
rnacentral:lncRNA from 1 species